rnacentral:rRNA from 1 species
GGGGGGGCAAGCGUUGUUCGGAUUUACUGGGCGUAAAGGGCUCGUAGGCGGCCACCUAAGUCGAUUGUGAAAUCCCUCGGCUCAACCGGGGAACUGCGACCGAUACUGGGUGGCUUGAAGCCGGGAGAGGGAUGCGGAAUUCCAGGUGUAGCGGUGAAAUGCGUAGAUAUCUGGAGGAACACCCGUGGCGAAGGCGGCAUCCUGGACCGGCCUUGACGCUGAGGAGCGAAAGCUAGGGGAGCGAACGGGAUUAGAUACCCCGGGUAGUCCUAGCCCUAAACGAUGAAUGCUUGGUGUGGCGGGUAUCGAUCCCCUGCCGUGCCGUAGCUAACGCGUUAAGCAUUCCGCCUGGGGAGUACGGUCGCAAGGCUG